UACGGAGGGGGCUAGCGUUGUUCGGAAUUACUGGGCGUAAAGCGCACGUAGGCGGCUUUGUAAGUUAGAGGUGAAAGCCCGGGGCUCAACUCCGGAAUUGCCUUUAAAACUGCAUCGCUAGAAUUGUGGAGAGGUGAGUGGAAUUCCGAGUGUAGAGGUGAAAUUCGUAGAUAUUCGGAAGAACACCAGUGGCGAAGGCGACUCACUGGACACAUAUUGACGCUGAGGUGCGAAAGCGUGGGGAGCAAACAGG
rnacentral:rRNA from 1 species